rnacentral:lncRNA from 1 species
CUGUCCCCGAAGGCCAUGCGCUUUGGACCAGCUCCGCCAUGGCUCCUCCUCGUCGUCGUCGUCUGCGGCGGCGGCGGCGGCGGAAGCGCAGGUGAGGUGAUGUCAUCGCGCUCAGGACCUAGUGAUGUCCUAUCGUUCCAUCCAAGCGCCACUUUUCGGUUUCGUAGUAUCGUCUUGUCCGCAAGGGCGAAUGCCUGCAGGCGCUCGGGUUUUGUGAAUGCUUUGUUUUUGGUGAACUGCUCCUGCAGAUGGAGACUGGCGCACCAGAUUUGCAACAAAAAAAAAAGUGGUUAUAGAGCUCGGCGAUGGAAGGAAAGGGACUGAACCGAUGGGGGAGAAGGGAGAUACUAUUACAAUUUACAACACAACGAAGUUGGU